AUGCGUCCUGCCCUAUGAGAGUACCACAACUUACACUGUAAAAAAUGUCCGUAAUUAAAAGGUACGAACUACCGUAUUCUUAGGAGGGAAUUUUCCGUAAUAUUAUUCUACGGAUGAUUUACCCGUAUUUUGAAGAACGCAAUGCAUUGUGGGAGAGACUGUCUUCAGAGGGAACGCAGCCGCCGCUUGCUCGCUCUCUGCUGUCUGAGUGAGUUGGAGUACUGCACUUCUGUGCUAUCAGAGCGGUCAAGAUUACCAGCCAACUUGUGAUGUCUUAAUAGGCUAGGAUCUACAUCUCGUAAAUCGUCCACAAUCCGUUUGGCCGCCCAAGUUGCUAGCUAAGUUAGCUCAGCAAGGCUCAUGUUGGUAACUGAACAGACGGUUAAUAGCUAUAUUGCCGUUAACGAGAAUAUAGCUAUUAACCGUCUAUUCAGUUAAAAUCAAGUUGGACUUGCCACAGUCCCAUUUGCCUGCCACCAUGCUGACCUGUAGCAUAUGUGGUUUUAAGUCUGUGUCAUCCACGGAAUAUGUCAGUCACUGCAGAACACACAGACACCUGAACAACGUGCGUAUGUCGUGUGCGCUUAGAGAUUGUGGUAGGAGAUUUUCUUCUUUCAACAGCCUCGCCGUUCACAUGUCACGAA